ensembl:lncRNA
CUGAAAACAGGAUGCAACUGAGCUUAAUAUCGAGUCUCAUAGCAAAGGGUCUGAAUACUUAUGUAAAUCAAGUUUUCGUUUCUAUUGAUUUUUGAUUAUUUUAAGAGAAAAAAAAUCUCUAAAAACCUGUUUUCACUUUGUCAUUAUGGGGUAUUAUGCGUAGAUUGAUGAGGAUUUUUAGAUUUUUAAAAAUCCAUUUCAGUAUAAGCCUGUAAUGUAACAAAAUGUGGAAAAAGUCAAGUGGUCUGAAUACUUUCCGAAUGCACUGUAUAUAUGGCAGUCUAAUGACAGGUGUGUAUGACAGUCUAAUGACAGGUGUGUAUGACAGUCUAUUGACAGGCAUUCUAGUUACAGGCAUGUAUGACAGUCUAAUAACAGGCGUGGAUGGCAGUCUAUUAACAGGCGUGGAUGGCAGUCUAUUGACAGGCGUGUAUGGCAGUCUAAUGACA